rnacentral:rRNA from 1 species
ACGACUUCUCUGUGACUCCUACGGGAGGCAGCAGUGGGGAAUAUUGCACAAUGGGCGAAAGCCUGAUGCAGCAACGCCGCGUGAACGAUGAAGGCCUUCGGGUUGUAAAGUUCUUUCUUAGAGAAGAAUCCAUGACGGUAUCUAAGGAAUAAGCCCCGGCUAACUACGUGCCAGCAGCCGCGGUAAUACGUAGGGGGCAAGCGUUAUCCGGAAUCACUGGGCGUAAAGGGAGUGUAGGCGGUCAAGCAAGUCAGAGGUGAAAGGCAUCGGCUCAACCGGUGUAAGCCUUUGAAACUGUUUGACUUGAGUGCAGGAGAGGUAAGUGGAAUUCCUAGUGUAGCGGUGAAAUGCGUAGAUAUUAGGAGGAACACCAGUGGCGAAGGCGACUUACUGGACUGUAACUGACGCUGAGGCUCGAAAGCGUGGGGAGCGAACAGGAUUAGAUACCCUGGUAG